rnacentral:rRNA from 1 species
GACGAACGCUGGCGGCGUGCUUAACACAUGCAAGUCGAACGGAAAGGCCCUGCUUUUGUGGCGUUCUCGAUUGCCGAACGUGUGAGUAACACGUUAGUAACCUGUCCUUUACUUUGUGAUAACUUCAGGAAACUGGGGCUAAUACCGCCUAUGACCUCCUGCUGCAUUGUGGUGUUUGGUAAGUUUCGGUGGUUGGGGAUGGACUCGCGGGUUAUCAGCUUGUUGCUCGGGUAGUGGCUUACCAAGGCUUUGACGGAUAGCCGACCUGAGAGGGUGAACGGCGACAUUGGGACUGAGAGAAGGACCAGACUCCUACGGGAGGCAGCAGUGGGGAGUAUUGCAGAAUGGGCGGAAGUCUGAUGCAGCAACGCAGCGUGCGGGAUGACGGCCUUCGGGUUGUAAACCGCUUUCGCCUGUGACGAAGAGUGAGUGACGGUAAUGGGUAAGAAAGCACCGGCUAACUACGUG